GGGCUGUGAUGAGUUACAGAGAAAGUCAUGCACCACUCUGAUGAUUCAGUGCUGAUAAAUUUCUCAUACCCAUUCAAUCUGAGCUC